AUUGAACGCUGGCGGCAUGCCUAACACAUGCAAGUCGAACGAGACCUUCGGGUCUAGUGGCGCACGGGUGCGUAACGCGUGGGAAUCUGCCCUUUGCUUCGGAAUAACAGUUAGAAAUGACUGCUAAUACCGGAUGAUGUCUUCGGACCAAAGAUUUAUCGGCAAAGGAUGAGCCCGCGUAGGAUUAGGUAGUUGGUGGGGUAAAGGCCUACCAAGCCGACGAUCCUUAGCUGGUCUGAGAGGAUGAUCAGCCACACUGGGACUGAGACACGGCCCAGACUCCUACGGGAGGCAGCAGUGGGGAAUAUUGGACAAUGGGGGCAACCCUGAUCCAGCCAUGCCGCGUGAGUGAAGAAGGCCUUCGGGUUGUAAAGACUCUUUCAGUUGUGAAGAUAAUGACGGUAGCAACAGAAGAA
rnacentral:rRNA from 1 species